GGAAUAUUGCAUAAUGGGCGAAAGCCCGAUGCAGCAACGCCGCGUGUGCGAAGAAGGCCUUCGGGUCGUAAAGCACUUUUCGAGAGGAUGAGGAAGGACAGUACUCUCGGAAUAAGCCUCGGCUAACUACGUGCCAGCAGCCGCGGUAAAACCGUAGGAGGCGAGCGUUAUCCGGAUUUACUGGGCGUAAAGCGCGUGCAGGCGGUUUGGCAAGUUGGAUGUGAAAGCUCCCGGGCUUAACUGGGAGAGGUCGUUCAAUACUGCCAGACUAGAGGACAGUAGAGGAAGGUGGAAUUCCGGGUGUAGUGGUGAAAUGCGUAGAUAUCCGGAGGAACACCAGUGGCGAAAGCGGCCUUCUGGACUGUAUCUGACGCUCAGACGCGAAAGCUAAGGGAGCAAA
rnacentral:rRNA from 1 species